ACAAAGCAGCAGUCCUUAUGACCCUCAAGGGAGCGUCCUCAUAUCAGAUGGAAGGCAUGUCACUGGCCUUUUACCAGGACCUUUCUAACAGCACGCUGGCCUGGCGGAGGUCCCUCAGACCUCUCACCUCCCUUUUACAGAAGAAGAACAUACGCUACCGCUGGCGCAUGUCUCGCACGCUAAUGGUAACACAUGGAGACUCCACGCACCUGAUACAGAACUUACAAGAGGCAGAAACACUACUACAAGCCCUGGGUCUGCCACAGGACAGUCUGGCCAAUAAAGACCACACUACCGCUUCCAGAUCUUCACGCACCUGGAACCCAGCGGCGAUCACCCCAUUCAUCCCACGGGGAGCCGUGACGGAAUCAUACGUGGCGGCCACAUCCUGAGGACAAUAUCAUUCUCAGUCCUAUCUAGUUGGAAUAUGCUUAACUGUCUUAAUUUUCAAAUGCUUUGUUUUACACGUUGUUGGUUCUUCUAUAAGGCAACACACAGCUUACACUCACGACCCCAGCUGACACAAUAGGGCAGGCAUGAUACAUGCACUUAACACUCACCCUUCCACCUCCCACCUCGGGACCCUACGAAAGGGCGCAACUAAUACCCUAGACUAGGAUGGCGGAACGGGCUAUACACACAUACAAGCUCUCUUAUACACAUUAAGCUGACACUAUGUCCGCAAUGAGCAGGAGUGAACCACGACCCAAGACCUCCAUAAGUCAGCCUCAUACUACAUGCCUGACCAUAUACGACCACAAUUAAGAUGCACAUAAGUCAGUCUCAUACAACUAGCAUGCUAAUGGUGACUCAUUUGACUCACUAAUUUGAUACGAUUUUACAACUAUCGCUAAGACAAUCACUAUAAGGAUGGACACAUACCUAUUAAAUACCUCUUUACCCUACUGUUUACUGUGCAUUGGGGAACAAAACCUUUGUGCUAUAUCUCAGUAGCCCAAACAUCAGGCAUUACAGCAUUAAAACAAUGCCACUAAAUUCUACUUUUAGCCUUACACACACCUGAUGCCUAGCGAGGAGAAAUGCCCACACAUCUAAGGGCUAAUUAAUGCAGCAUGAGUUAACCCUUGUUUUAUGUUUAAUAUGUUAUUAUGUUAUAAACACAGUCCAUUCACAUAUAUAUUCAGCUUGUUAACACUACACCUGUUUAAGCCUAAAAAUCGGUACACACUCAUGAAAAUGCUCUUACACUAUAAUAUUGAUUCAGACCAUUUCUCUGACAAGAGCAAAGUUGAGACUACGCCAAUUUACACACGGGAUAAGCCUUACCCGGCAAAGACACUAGCAGGAUCGCUACUACUACUUUAACCCACAUUGUAUUGCUAAGCUACUGUUAACCUAAUACACAUGUGAAACCUCAGUUUUAUGCAUGUUUAUCUCAUAAUAUUACAAAAGUGCAAUGUCCUUGAAG